GGAUUGUCCAAGAUUUUUGUGAUAUCGUAAGAGGAUUUAUUUUGUUUGUUCCGCUGUUGUACGGCACUACGUUGACUGGCAGGAGGGCAUGUGAUCAGACACACAGUAUCGGGGUUCAAGAGUGGUAUGUUGGUCAUGUGUCCAUUCGCCAGGCAACAUAGUGCUGUACAAGUAGCGCGAAAAACAAACUUCAAAUUAACGCUACGCGUUCAGCGGGAGUCGUGGAUGACGAGCGGCGAUAAACUUGCGAAAAGCAAGUUAUGCUCAACUCCACCGGUGGAACCUGACAGCGUGGAAAAGUGUGAAAACAUCCAUGAUCACCAACGGAUUUCAAAGGGCUGGACUGCUGCAUGAUGGAGAGGAAGACACCGCCACGGCCCUUCAGAGGGGGUUCGACUCUGACACUGACAAUGAGGAUUUCUUUGGUUUUGUAAGUGACAACGAAUGAAAGAAGCUGAGAGUGGAUGACGUAGCCAUCCUGAGCCUGUUCGUAUUCGACACUGGAGGAGAGGACUUUGGUGGUUUUAGUGCGCAGGAAGAUGGUGGUGAAUGACUGACUUUUCUUCUUGUUAAAGCCAUGUCACUGCACCUGAGCCUAAAAGAUGCGACCUCACAAAAGAUGUUAACGAUGCUGUCAGACCUGACCAGAGCAGUUAACGAACUCCGUGAGGAGGUCAGAGCCAACCGCCAUCCCUGCUGCAAUGAAUCUGUAGAUGCUGGGGUAUUGCCUCUGGAUUUGCCUUUGCACAACAUUGAGGAGCUAAACAAUGCAGGGGCAGCCCUUCAAUCACCGGAGGCAAAUAAGGCAAUGGUGAGGCGCUUUGCCUUGAUUGGAGGGACCACACUGGAGGUGCGAGUCUGCCGCACCGCCAAACGAGCUGGCCUCGGUACUCAAUUGGGCAGGGAAAAAAACAAGGACCAGACAGCAAAAAAUGGCAUUUAAAGAGACAGCGCAGUGCAGAUGCAUAUUUGAUGGCCUGACGCAGCAGGUAGGGGCAAACUCUAUGUCUGAGUUUGUCUUUGCUCAAGCAGUCCAGAAAUGGCUCAGAUAUGCUCCGGAUUGUAAAAAUUAAAAAGUGACGUGAAACAUAGAAAUCUUAAUAGGAAACUUUGUCUUUUAAUAAAAUAUUUUGCAAACGAUACAUGUCUAUUGACCUUUUUUUUUCUUUUCUGUUCUCUG
ensembl:lncRNA